rnacentral:SRP_RNA from 1 species
GCUGGGCAUGGUGGCGCAUGCCUGUAAUCUCAGCUACUCUGGAGGCUGAGGCAGGAGAAUCGCUUGAAUCCGGGAGGUGGUGGUUGCAGUGAGCUGAGAUCAUGCCAUUGCACUCCAGCCUGGGCAACAGGGCGAGACUCUGUCUCAA